rnacentral:rRNA from 1 species
AUCGAACGCUGGCGGCAGGCCUAACACAUGCAAGUCGAACGAGUGGCGGACGGGUGAGUAAUGUCUGGGAAACUGCCUGAUGGAGGGGGAUAACUACUGGAAACGGUCGCUAAUACCGCAUACCAUCAGAUGUGCCCAUCUGGGAUUAGCUUGUUGGUGGGGUAACGGCUCACCAAGGCGACGAUCCCUAGCUGGUCUGAGAGGAUGACCGGCCACACUGGGACUGAGACACGGUCCAGACUCCUACGGGAGGCAGCAGUGGGGAAUAUUGCACAAUGGGCGCAAGCCUGAUGGAGCCAUGCCGCGUGUAUGAAGAAGGCCUUCGGGUUGUAAAGUACUUUCAGCGGGGAGGCGUUACUCGCAGAAGAAGCACCGGCUAACUCCGUGCCAGCCGCCGCGGUAAUUC